rnacentral:rRNA from 1 species
AUGUGCCAAGCUCCCAUUUAUGUGAUCUUUGCAAGUGAGGCAGAGAAAGCAGGGACAAAAGUCGGCAACCACAAGGAAGGCGCCCAAAUUAAUUUUGCUUUCAUUGAUGCUGAUGUAAUUGAAGAGGGCACAUUGGCUGCAGGCAUCGGGUGCCGGAAAAUCGAAAGCAGAGAGCCUUCUUUCAUGCAAGAGAAGGUGCAACUCUUGAUUGGUCUGGAUCCAUAUGGUAUUGUUAAAUCGGCUGGCAAGGUUGCCUUUAUCAUUGACAAUGACAAAUAUGUGAAUGGCAUCGAAUGUUCCAUUCCAGUUUUGAUCAAAAGUGGAAACUGGAUCGGCACUGCUCAAGAAAUUGAUGAGUUGUUCCUAGGCGACGCAGAAGUGUGCAGCUCAUCAAUCUUUUAA